rnacentral:rRNA from 1 species
AUUGAACGCUGGCGGCAUGCCUUACACAUGCAAGUCGAACGGCAGCACGGGAGCAAUCCUGGUGGCGAGUGGCGAACGGGUGAGUAAUAUAUCGGAACGUGCCCAGUGAUGGGGGAUAGCCCGGCGAAAGCCGGAUUAAUACCGCAUACGACCUACGGGUGAAAGCAGGGGAUCGCAAGACCUUGCGUCAUUGGAGCGGCCGAUAUCAGAUUAGCUUGNGGUGGGGUAAAAGCCUACCAAGGCGACGAUCUGUAGCUGGUCUGAGAGGACGACCAGCCACACUGGGACUGAGACACGGCCCAGACUCCUACGGGAGGCAGCAGUGGGGAAUCUUGCGCAAUGGGCGAAAGCCUGACGCAGCGACGCCGCGUGAGGGAUGACGGCCU